AUUUUUACUAUCCCUUUUCUACUUUCAGGUAUGUUUAGAUACACAAAUGCCACUGUGACAGGUACCUCCAGUAUUCAGGGCAGGACAGCUAUGCAGGGUGCAGGCUGGGGGCAAGAGGUGGUACCGUGUAACGUGAGUGUGUAACAGGCUCCGCCCUAAGUUGGUGUAAGUUCAGUAACUCGGAGGUGUGCACAUCCGGGAACUCACCUGGAGGUGCAUUUCUCAGAUGCGUCUCCUCUGGGUGUAACUCGCUGCUUUAAUCUCCAGCACCAGAAACAAACUAACACGGGAAUGUGCAUCUCUUCAUAAAGCAACGCGAGAUUGUGUAAGCUUUCAGUUUUCUUUGGGUCUUCACUGGUCUCAUGAGGACGACUAUGCACAUGUGUAAAUUAAACGGACUGGCUUCUCUCCUAUUUAUCUGUGUUCUGGUGGUCUCCCUGUAAGGCCCCAGAGGAAAACUAAGCUGGAGAGCCGUUAACGAUUUUUCUCUCUUCGGCUAGGAGGAGCAAAGAACGGCUUUUCCCCCGAGCCUUGAGAGCCCGGCCCUGGGCAACACCUCGAUCUGGGACCAGUGGUGCUGACUUUGGACACCAGGCCCCAGAACUGGGAAAGAAUAGAUUAGAUUGUUUGAAACCACCAAACUUGUGGCUUAGGAAAUGACUAUCCUCUUUCAUCACUCCCGUUGUUUUUCUCAGGAACAAUGACCAUGCGCCAUUGUAUAGAUGAGGAAGCGCAUGCGCUUGGAGAGGCGGCCCGCUCAGCCCAGGUACAGGCAGAGGCAGAGCCAGGGACGGACCACAUGCAGCUCAUCCUUCCGGGGCUUCGCUGGGCAACAAUCAACCUGCUAACACGGUCUUUGAAACUUUUACGCUGAUAGCACAUCCCUGUUCACAUGAAUCCGGUUUGGCCGAUGAGUGGGCAGGAUAGCUACAGACCCUCUGAUUGGAAUUUACAGCCUGGAGAGAAGAACAUCAGGUAAAGAAUUUCCUAAGGAUGAGGGAUUCCAGCCAAGUGCCCAGUUACAGGAUGUGCUGGGCCCUCCUUUUACACAGCC
rnacentral:lncRNA from 1 species